CGAAUGCUGACAUAAGUAACGAUAAAGCGGGUGAAAAGCCCGCUCGCCGGAAGACCAAGGGUUCCUGUCCAACGUUAAUCGGGGCAGGGUGAGUCGACCCCUAAGGCGAGGCCGAAAGGCGUAGUCGAUGGGAAACAGGUUAAUAUUCCUGUACUUGGUGUUACUGCGAAGGGGGGACGGAGAAGGCUAUGUUGGCCGGGCGACGGUUGUCCCGGUUUAAGCGUGUAGGCUGGUUUUCCAGGCAAAUCCGGAAAAUCAAGGCUGAGGCGUGAUGACGAGGCACUACGGUGCUGAAGCAACAAAUGCCCUGCUUCCAGGAAAAGCCUCUAAGCAUCAGGUAACAUCAAAUCGUACCCCAAACCGACACAGGUGGUCAGGUAGAGAAUACCAAGGCGCUUGAGAGAACUCGGGUGAAGGAACUAGGCAAAAUGGUGCCGUAACUUCGGGAGAAGGCACGCUGAUAUGUAGGUGAAGUCCCUCGCGGAUGGAGCUGAAAUCAGUCGAAGAUACCAGCUGGCUGCAACUGUUUAUUA
rnacentral:rRNA from 1 species